AGUGAACGCUGGCGGUAGGCCUAGCACAUGCAAGUCGAACGGCAGCACAGUAAGAGCUUGCUCUUACGGGUGGCGAGUGGCGGACGGGUGAGGAAUACAUCGGAAUCUACUUUUUCGUGGGGGAUAACGUAGGGAAACUUACGCUAAUACCGCAUACGACCUACGGGUGAAAGCAGGGGAUCUCCGGACCUUGCGCGAUUGAAUGAGCCGAUGUCGGAUUAGCUAGUUGGCGGGGUAAAGGCCCACCAAGGCGACGAUCCGUAGCUGGUCUGAGAGGAUGAUCAGCCACACUGGAACUGAGACACGGUCCAGACUCCUACGGGAGGCAGCAGUGGGGAAUAUUGGACAAUGGGCGCAAGCCUGAUCCAGCCAUACCGCGUGGGUGAAGAAGGCCUUCGGGUUGUAAAGCCCUUUUGUUGGGAAAGAAAAGCAGCAGGUUAAUACCCCGCUGUUCUGACGGUACCCAAAGAAUAAGCACCGGCUAACUUCGUG
rnacentral:rRNA from 1 species